rnacentral:rRNA from 1 species
UACGUAGGGGGCUAGCGUUGUCCGGAUUUAUUGGGCGUAAAGAGCGUGUAGGCGGCCUGGUAGGUCUGCUGUGAAAACUCGAGGCUCAACCUCGAGAUGUCGGCGGAAACCAUCUGGCUAGAGUCCGGAAGAGGAGAGUGGAAUUCCUGGUGUAGCGGUGAAAUGCGCAGAUAUCAGGAAGAACACCAAUGGCGAAGGCAGCUCGCUGGGACGGUACUGACGCUGAGGCGCGAAAGCGUGGGGAGCAAACAGG